GCCUGGGUGGCUCAGUUGGUUAAGCAUCUGACUCUUGGUUUUCGGCUCAGGUCAUGAUCUCGCAGUUUGUGGGUUCAAGCCCCACAUCAGGCU
rnacentral:tRNA from 1 species